GGCCAGGCAUAGUGGCUCAUGCCUGUAAUACCAGCACUUUGGGAGCCUGAAGAGGGAGGAUUACUUGAACCCAGGAGUUCCAGACCAGCCUGGACAACAAAGCAAGACUUUGUUUCUACUUAAAAAAAAAAAAAAAACACCAAAGUCAGGUGUGGUGGUACACACCUGUGAUCCCAGCUACUUGGGAGGCUGAGAUGGGAGGAUCCCUUGAGCCUUGGAGGUUGAGGCUGCAAUGAGCCAUGAUCAUACCACUGCACUCCAGCCUAGGCGACAGAGUGAGGCCCAUGUCAAAAAAAAAAAAAAUGAUCCCCAACAUUUAGCAGCUUAAAACAAAAAACAUUUAUUAUAUCACACUUUCUGUGGGCCAGGAAUCUGGGAGGGACUUAGCUGGGUGGUUCUGCUCAGUUCUCUUGGGAUGUUUCAGUCAAGCAGUGGCCUGGGGCUGCACUCUUAUCUGAAGACUCAAUUGGGAGAAAAUAUGCAUUCAAGGUCACUCAUUGGUUGUUGGCAGGCUGUAGUUCCUUACUGAAUAUUGGUUGAAGACUUCAUUGGCUUACUACCUGGACUUCUCCAUAGACUGCUUGAAUGUCCUCCCCACAUAGCUAGAGUGAAUGACUAAAAAAGAGAGAGAACACACACAGCCCAGCCCCAGCAGACCACAGGAGGUUGGCCCCAGACUCACUGAGUGCCUGCAGCAGCCCUACAGACACAGCAUCCUUGGCCACCUCAUGCCCAU
rnacentral:lncRNA from 1 species